rnacentral:lncRNA from 1 species
AAACUUGUUCUCAACCUUAGAGCAUAUCAACAUAUCCCUACACCUUCUCGUAGCUUCGACCCCUUGAAACCCUAACCCCUCCGACGAGUCACUCUGUACAUCUUUUCAACCUCACAGAGCCUAGGGAAAGUACUACUAUGGUAGCCACAAAGAGUCAAGGUCUGGUUCUUUCAGGUUGCCCUUCUUGAAGGGCAUGCUUUAUGGUGCAAGAGUCCCUUUCCUUUGAGAUUCAUGUAUCUGCUACCCAGCUGAAGUGAGACCAUCAAAGUCCUCUGUACUUGGGUAAGUUACCGACCUUGUUUUAUUAAGAUUUUAUUUUGUAAUUUAUCUCUAAAUGGGUGAAUAAAUUUAUUUGGUUAAUAUCCAAUUAGGUACCCCUAACUGUGUGGGUAGAAAAGAGAAUUGGAAUUUUCCAAGUGUGUCAUAUGCGAGCUUGUAUGCUUGAUUGAUUUUUCACUCUUGAGCUUUUGGAUUUCACUAUAUUAUUUCUGCUUUAUUAUUUUAUAUUACCCCUCGUGCUAUUUCAACAGAAGUUUUAAAGCAAAUGGGUAUAACUGUAGAUUUAAUUAUUGGCACUACCUAGGAAUGAAAUGUUUGUAGCGUAUUGAAUUGAAGUUUCAAAAAAUUUGGGGGAAAAUCUGCCCCAUAUUUGUUGAAGUAGUAUUAUAGUUUUAGGCUCACGAGUGUUUGAAAUUAUUUCUCAAUGAAUUCCUUUGAGUGUCCUACACAAAUAAUGCUGCAGUCGAAGAAAGGUUGAGUACAUAUCAGCAUGAUAAUUUGUUUUUAAGCUUAUUGUAUUAACAUUCGAUCUAGCCAUUCGUGCAGUAAAUGGGAGAUUCCAUUUUAUCGUAAU